AUCAUCAUAUGAUGAAAUUCGGAAAAAAUCUUAGGACACCUUCCUACACAGCAUUUACUUGCUGUGGAUGAGAAGAACAUUCCAUUCUGAUGAUGAU
rfam:Morus notabilis contig23612, whole genome shotgun sequence.